UCUAUAAGAAACCACAUUCCAUUGGUACGUGGUUUCUUAUAGGUUGAAAUUUGUGCUGUGCUAUUUCUAUCGCUAUUGCCUCGCAUUGUGUCUCAGGCUUUACUUUAUCUUUACUGGAAUUCUAAAGUACAAUAUUAGAGAACUGUGUUUUCAUUGACAUUAUUAAUAACUUUUCAUUUCUCUAUUCACUGCAGUCCUCCAAGAAAUUAGACAAAGCAUUACCUUCGCGUCUAUUCAUCCGCUUCUCCUCAUUUUCAUGCCUCGCCUUGGAAUGUCGGAACCACUCCAUAACUCGUCGUUGUAUUUUUCUCUGGUCGGAAUCCGGGAUAUUGUGAAUUUCUGCAGUGGUUCCUUUCCGCGUCGGCCUUCCCAGUUAUAUCUCUCCGCCAAUUUAUUGGAGAAUACUUUAUACAAUGUUCUCUUUACGGCAUCAUCGACACUUGUCCCUCCGAUGGAUUUGAUAUAUCCGCGCUAUAAAAUAAAAAGUGUUAUGUUGGGAAUUUGACGCUUUCAAGAUCUCCUCAACUUCCGCUAACUGAACUACGGUUUGCAAGGGAAACCGGUUUUCAGCGCCCUCAAAGGAAAUUUGUGUUCUCUCACAUUCUGUGUCUUUAUUAAUUUUGUCCACUAUGAUGUCUACUAAGGUCAGUAUUUGCCUCCCAAUAAGCACAAGUACAUCCUAUGUACGUACAACGGAUGUCCGGUCCGGACAUUGUGUACAUCCAUCGGAUGUCCAGAUUACCUGCAGCGGACGUACAAGGGACGUCCAUUGUACGUCCGUUUGCAACUGGUCUGGACGUCCAUAAGUCGUCCAUUAUUGGUCAUUUAUGGAUUUUAAAUGGAUAAAUUAUGUAUCUAACGGACGAAUUUUGGAUCUCAUAUAAACUAAUUAUGGAUCUA